UCUUAAAGAUGAGCAAGAAGUGGUUUCUUGAGAUGGAAUCUACUACUGGUGAAGAUUCUGUAAA
rnacentral:pre_miRNA from 1 species